rnacentral:rRNA from 1 species
GAGUUUGAUCGUGGCUCAGAUUGAACGCUGGCGGCAUGCCUUACACAUGCAAGUCGAACGGCAGCACGGGAGCUUGCUCCUGGUGGCGAGUGGCGAACGGGUGAGUAAUGCAUCGGAACGUAUCCUGGAGUGGGGGAUAACGUAGCGAAAGUUACGCUAAUACCGCAUAUUCUGUGAGCAGGAAAGCGGGGGACCUUCGGGCCUCGCGCUCUUGGAGCGGCCGAUGGUCGGAUUAGCUAGUU